rnacentral:rRNA from 1 species
UACGUAGGGUGCGAGCGUUAAUCGGAAUUACUGGGCGUAAAGCGUGCGCAGGCGGUUCUCCAAGUCCGUUGUUAAAGCCCCGGGCUCAACCUGGGAAUGGCAGUGGAAACUAGGGGACUGGAAUCUGGCAGAGGGGGGUGGAAUGCCGCGUGUAGCAGUGAAAUGCGUAGAGAUGCGGCGGAACACCGAUGGCGAAGGCAGCCCCCUGGGCUGAGAUUGACGCUGAGGAGCGAAAGCGUGGGGAGCGAACAGG